GACGUAGGGCGCGAGCGUUGUCCGGAUUUAUUGGGCGUAAAGAGCUCGUAGGCGGCUUGUCGCGUCGACCGUGAAAACUUGGGGCUCAACCCCAAGCCUGCGGUCGAUACGGGCAGGCUCGAGUUCGGUAGGGGAGACUGGAAUUCCUGGUGUAGCGGUGAAAUGCGCAGAUAUCAGGAAGAACACCUAUGGCGAAGGCAGCUCUCUGGGACGGUACUGACGCUGAGACGCGAAAGCGUGGGGAGCGAACAGG
rnacentral:rRNA from 1 species